rnacentral:rRNA from 1 species
AAUUUUAGGUGUGCCCUGCCCGGUGAUAUUUAUUUAACGGCCGCAGUACUCUGACUGUGCUAAGGUAGCAUAAUAAUUUGUCUUUUAAUUUUUGACUGGAAUAAACGGGUGUUUUAUUGAAGUCUGUCUUUUUUGUAUUAUGUUAAACUUAUUUAUAAGGUGAAAAUACCUUAAUUUUAUAUAUUAGACGAGAAGACCCUUAGAGUUUAAUAUAUAUUUUGUUGGGGCGACAGAGAAGCAUAUAGCUUUCUUUAUUUUUUUUUAUAUAUCAAUUUAAUUAAUUAAUAAAUAAACUACCUAAGGGAUAACAGCAUAAUUUUUUAGAGAGAUUAUGACCUCGAUGUUGGAUUAAGGACUUAUAUACUAACAGUUUAAUAAGAUUGUUCUGUUCGAAC